ACAUGUGGACAGUAUGGGAGUGAGAAUGUUGGCAUGAGUAGCGAGAUGUGGGUGAGAAUCCCACAGGCCGUAAACCCAAGGUUUCCAGGGGAAGGUUCGUCCGCCCUGGGUUAGUCGGGACCUAAGCUGAGGCCGAAAGGCGUAGGUGAUGGACAACAGGUUGAUAUUCCUGUACUACCGAUAACCGUUUGAGAGAAGGGAUGACACAGUAGGAUAAGCUAAGCACACUGUUGGUUAUGUGUGCCCAAG
rnacentral:rRNA from 1 species